rnacentral:rRNA from 1 species
UGCAGUCGAACGGCAGCACGGGAGCUUGCUCCUGGUGGCGAGUGGCGAACGGGUGAGUAAUACAUCGGAACGUACCCAGGAGUGGGGGAUAACGUAGCGAAAGUUACGCUAAUACCGCAUAUUCUGUGAGCAGGAAAGCGGGGGAUCGCAAGACCUCGCGCUCUUGGAGCGGCCGAUGUCGGAUUAGCUAGUUGGUGAGGUAAAAGCUCACCAAGGCGACGAUCCGUAGCAGGUCUGAGAGGAUGAUCUGCCACACUGGGACUGAGACACGGCCCAGACUCCUACGGGAGGCAGCAGUGGGGAAUUUUGGACAAUGGGGGCAACCCUGAUCCAGCCAUGCCGCGUGAGUGAAGAAGGCCUUCGGGUUGUAAAGCUCUUUCGGCGGGGAAGAAAUGGCAACGGCUAAUAUCCGUUGUUGAUGACGGUACCCGCAUAAGAAGCACCGGCUAACUACGUGCCAGCAGCCGCGGUAAUACGUAGGGUGCGAGCGUUAAUCGGAAUUACUGGGCGUAAAGCGUGCGCAGGCGGUUUCGUAAGACAGACGUGAAAUCCCCGGGCUCAACCUGGGAACUGCGUUUGUGACUGCGAGGCUAGAGUACGGCAGAGGGGGGUAGAAUUCCACGUGUAGCAGUGAAAUGCGUAGAGAUGUGGAGGAAUACCGAUGGCGAAAGGCAGCCCCCUGGGUUAGUACUGACGCUCAUGCACGAAAGCGUGGGGAGCAAACAGGAUUAGAUACCCUGUAGUCCACGCCCUAACGAUGUCAACUAGUGGUUGGAAGGGUUAA